UCGAUUCCCUUAGUAGCGGCGAGCGAAACGGGAAGAGCCCAAACCAACAAGCUUGCUUGUUGGGGUUGUAGGACACUCUAUACGGAGUUACAAAGGACGACAUUAGACGAAUCAUCUGGAAAGAUGAAUCAAAGAAGGUAAUAAUCCUGUAGUCGAAAAUGUUGUCUCUCUUGAGUGGAUCCUGAGUACGACGGAGCACGUGAAAUUCCGUCGGAAUCUGGGAGGACCAUCUCCUAAGGCUAAAUACUCUCUAGUGACCGAUAGUGAACCAGUACCGUGAGGGAAAGGUGAAAAGCACCCCGGAAGGGGAGUGAAAUAGAACCUGAAACCGUGUGCUUACAAGUAGUCAGAGCCCGUUAAUGGGUGAUGGCGUGCCUUUUGUAGAAUGAACCGGCGAGUUACGAUUUGAUGCAAGGUUAAGCAGUAAAUGUGGAGCCGUAGCGAAAGCGAGUCUGAAUAGGGCGUUUAGUAUUUGGUCGUAGACCCGAAACCAGGUGAUCUACCCUUGGUCAGGUUGAAGUUCAGGUAACACUGAAUGGAGGACCGAACCGACUUACGUUGAAAAGUGAGCGGAUGAACUGAGGGUAGCGGAGAAAUUCCAAUCGAACCUGGAGAUAGCUGGUUCUCUCCGAAAUAGCUUUAGGGCUAGCCUCAAGUGAUGAUUAUUGGAGGUAGAGCACUGUUUGGACGAGGGGCCCCUCUCGGGUUACCGAAUUCAGACAAACUCCGAAUGCCAAUUAAUUUAACUUGGGAGUCAGAACAUGGGUGAUAAGGUCCGUGUUCGAAAGGGAAACAGCCCAGACCACCAGCUAAGGUCCCAAAAUAUAUGUUAAGUGGAAAAGGAUGUGGCGUUGCCCAGACAACUAGGAUGUUGGCUUAGAAGCAGCCAUCAUUUAAAGAGUGCGUAAUAGCUCACUAGUCGAGUGACACUGCGCCGAAAAUGUACCGGGGCUAAACAUAUUACCGAAGCUGUGGAUUGUCCUUUGGACAAUGGUAGGAGAGCGUUCUAAGGGCGUUGAAGCAUGAUCGUAAGGACAUGUGGAGCGCUUAGAAGUGAGAAUGCCGGUGUGAGUAGCGAAAGACGGGUGAGAAUCCCGUCCACCGAUUGACUAAGGUUUCCAGAGGAAGGCUCGUCCGCUCUGGGUUAGUCGGGUCCUAAGCUGAGGCCGACAGGCGUAGGCGAUGGAUAACAGGUUGAUAUUCCUGUACCACCUAUAAUCGUUUUAAUCGAUGGGGGGACGCAGUAGGAUAGGCGAAGCGUGCGAUUGGAUUGCACGUCUAAGCAGUAAGGCUGAGUAUUAGGCAAAUCCGGUACUCGUUAAGGCUGA
rnacentral:rRNA from 1 species